CAUCGUCAAAAACUUUGUUUCCUUUGUGAUCCACCACCUGAAUUCUUGCAUUUCCUCUAAUCACAUACAGGGCACUAUGUGCAUUGAUAUUCCAGUGUGGUGCAAAAAUGGCAUUCUGCAAUUACCAAACAACAAACUCAAUCACUCAUUUCACGUAACAAAAUUUAUGUAUUAAUGCUAUUGUGUUUGCUUACGCUGUAGAGGAAUCCUCUUUCUGCACUAAGUUGGAGGCUGCUGAGGAUAGGAAUCUUUUGGCUAUUAACAGUGGUAAUGCGGCCAGCACGAGGAUUGAAUACAUCAGCCUCUUGGGGGAGGCCAAUGUUUUCACUAAGCUUCACCGUGCACAAAGUUUCCUCAAGUCCAUUGGAUCUCCAUCCUCUUCCAACACCCUGUUGUUGCUGCUCCUGCUGUUGUUGGGGUUGUUGCUCUUGCUCACUAUAUUCAGGCAGGAACAGUUGAAGUUUUUCAGCUCGGACUGUGCUACCCCUUUUAUCUUUCGGACCCUUCAAUUUCUGUAUUAUUUUGAGGUCAACAUUGAAAGCAUCAGCCAAAAGUUGGUCAUCAAAUCCUGAGAAGAUGUUUCUAUGCUGCUGCUGCUGGCCUUGAUGGCCUUCCUUUCCACCACCCUGUUGCGGGUUUCCGGCUAGGAAAAAUUUCUGAAAGUAAAAAAAAAUUUUUUUUAUUAAGAUGGUACCGCAAUAAAAUAUGCCCAGAAAGAGAUUAUUUUUUGAUUAAUACUUGGCAAGUUUGGAAUGAUAGUUUUCUUACCCUGGACUGCAAAUCAAGCUGAUUAGCCUCAUUGGCAACAUCAAGAAGUGCGACAGUGACAAGCGGAACAUCUCCAUCAUUAUAUGUCCACUGAGUGAAACCAGGAAGCAAUAUAAGGACAUCUCCUUUUUGGAACCUUCUGAGCUUCUGAUGGCGGUCUGGAAACCUUUGCCUUUGCCCUUCCUGACCACCUUUGGAACCUUCUUGCCCUUUGCCCGGCUGUUCCUGACCACCCGAAAAUGAUUCGCCCUGGGAUUCAAAUGUUUCAGCACAACCAGGGAUCACAGUGCCUUGAACACCGGUACCUGCAUUAUGCCAAAAUGAUUAAAUCAUGAAAAAAAUCAAUUAUACGAUCAUUAAGAAGAAAAUAGAGAAAAACUUCCAGAAAUAAUGGAAAGAUGGGAAAUGAAACUUGCCUUCGACAACGUAGACGAAUUUCGGCACGUUAGAGUAAUGAGGCAAACGAAGGCCCUUAGGUUGGACAGUGUUACGCUCAAAUUCCACACCAGCGCACCCAAAUUCUGGAUUAUUAGAAUCCCAGAAUUCAGUUAAACCAGCCUCUGAUGGGAACCUGAAGGAUGGUUCUUGUGCAUUAAGCUUCUGAAUAUUGCACUGAGUUUUACCCCCGAGCCUUGGCUCUGGUCUCCCUAGUUGAGCCAAACAGCCGAGGAACAAGAGAAGAACGUACGAGGAAAGAGAAAUCAUAUGAGAGUGAGCCAUUCUCUGACAACAGAGGAGAGUGUAGUGUGUUUUUGUGGUGAGGGGAUGCGGCGAUUAGAGCUUGGAAAUGGCUCCUUUUAUAACAUGUAAUGGAAGAUGAGGAAUCGACACGUCAAAAUUUUCAUUUUACACUUGGCUACUCAGUCUUGUGCAUGGCUGAUGAAGAGGAACACUUCUUUACACCAAGGAUGAUGUGUAAGCCUUGGUGGCAAUGAGUUUCUGACAUGUAUUGUUCAAUCCUUUUGUGUUUGUAUUUGCAUGAAAUUUUUGUACUUUAGCAAUGGCAUGGUAAGGUGCAUUAUCUGCUACGAUGGCUUUUGAUGAAUCAAACCCCAAAUCAAACACACAUUCAUCUUGGGAUCUUUCGAGAUGUGAUAUGGAAAGAUGAUCACAACUGCUGCGUAUUACAUCACACCUAUCAUCUUCUGCUUUUAAGUUUCUAGUACCUAUCUAUCUUCAUCGAUUUUUAUUCACCUUUAUUGAAGACAAUUGGUUUUCACUUCUAGGCAAAUGACUGUUGCAGUUCAUAAUUUCAAUGCCUGGAAUAAAUAUCUGUUAAACAAUUACCGUUUCUAGUCUAGUGGCACGUAAUUAAAGGCAUUCUACAGGGAAAUUCCAUGAUUUAAAAUCUUUAUUAGCAAACAAAAGGCAGCCAAUCCAUGUUGGAUCAAACUAAAAGAUAGAGCCAGAAACCCAAUUUGACAUGGAAUAGAGUUUUACGUCUAACAAUUGAAUUGAAUUAUGUUCUUGAAAAGGUUGCUCAUCUACAUCGUUUUCCGCUGUAAUACAUCAAUAAACCAGCUGUAUCGUGACCCAUUGUAUCUGCCGCUUGGGUAGAGGUUAAAUCUCCCUCUAUGCAUUUCCUCUAUCCUUCCCCUUGUAGGUAGGCUUGAACUCCAAAAGAAAAGAGAAAAAAAAAGAAAGUACGAAGUUGAUUCCACUGACAUUUGUAUCAAAUUCAAUAUUUGAGCAAUAAUGAUCAUCAGCUUCUAGAAAUGAUCCAAGUCCAAGCUAUUGAUUCCAGCCUCCCAUAGUGUGUCUGAACAAAUUUCAAGAUGGUGAUAUGAUAGCCAAAUCAUGGACAAAAAAAGUUGCUUGGGAAGACUGUCUUAACCCCAGUUCCAGAGUUAGAUCAAUCAAUGGUUCUCUAAUCUAUUCCAUUCUAACAUUGUUUAGUUGAGUUUUUGUCUAUGUGUAAUUUCAGUUUCAAUUAAUUACUCAACUUUGCAUGUUUAGUGUUAUAAUCAUUAGUGCUUUUGGUACACCGAUGGUGCUCAUUUCAAAAAUAUGUAAUUAAUAAUUUUUAAUAAUCCACUAUUAUAUGUAGAAUCAUGUUAGAGCAUAUAUAUGCUUUUCUCAAAAUUCAUAGAUAUGAUUCUUUUUUGAUUUUUUAGGAAAUUAUUGUACUUAAAAUCAUGGUAAAGAAAUAGAGUGGAAGUGAGCUGAUAUGCUUAAGAUCAUGGUUGGAAGAGGUGGUGGACCCAAAUUGAUAAAUACACAAAACCCACAGAAACAAUAAAAAAAAAACGAUAUUGAGGCACAGGAAAAUUUUCUAUUAAUCAUAACAAGGCUCUGGCUACACUAUGCAAAACACAACGGAGGUUACUACUUCUUCUUAAGGCUAAAAGACGGACGCAACGGCUACACAUCAAAACCCCUUGGCGGCUAACUUCUAUUACUAACUCUGCUAGUCAUAAGAAAUUCAAUCCCAUGGGAUCACCCUACCAACCAACAAUACUACUUACCAAUCCCACAUGACAGCAUAAACAAAUAAUAAAGGCUUGGUUUGUGUUUCUAUAUUGCCUCCAUUAAACCAGUCUCCUCUAACUUGGACAUACCUAACAUAUUCUUCAACUCGACAAAAAUCUCUAUCUUCAAUAUCUUGGUGAAAAAUGUCAGCCGCUUACUAUUUAAUUCUGCAAUAAUCAAUUUCAACCUCUCUCUAUCUCGAACCAACUCACGUGUGAAGUGAUAUUUGAUACCAAUAUGCUUGUUACAUCCAUGAAGUACUAAAUUCUUGGACAACUCAAUAGCUGACUUACUAUCAUAAUAAAUUUUCGUAGGAUCAACCUGCUUGUAUUGUAGAAUACCAAACAUGCAAUGUAACCAUAAAACUUGAUUAGCACUAUUAGCUGCUGCAAUAUACUCUGCCUCCGCUAUAAACAAUGCAAUCACCUGUCGUUUCUUUGAACUCAAGGAAAAUAAGUCAGAACCAAUAAAAAAUGCAUAACUUGAAGUACUCUUCUUCUCUAUUGUAUCACCUGGUCAAUCACUAUCAGUGUAGCCAAACAAUUCAACUGGAUAAUUUUCUGAAUAUAAAAUGCCAACACUGCGAGUACUUUCAAUAUAUUUCAAAAUUCUCUUAACCGCCUGCAAAUGUGACUGACGUGGAUUUUUCAUAAACUUGUUAAUCACACCAACAGCAAAAUUGAUAUCUGGCCUCAUAGACGUCAAAUAUCUCAAAUUUUCUACCAAACUUUUAAAGUAGGUAGGAUUUACAUAUCCAUAACUGUUAUAUUCUUCCUGUCUGCCACUCCAUUUUGUUGGAAAAUGUACCUGGUAGUCAAUUGAUGAUGUAUCACAUUUUUUUCAAAAAAAAUCAUCACACAACAAAUAUUCCUGACCCCUAUUUGUUCUCAAAAUUUUAAUUUGAUACCCACUUUGUCUUUAACAAAAGUUUUUAAAAUUUUAAAAAUAUCACAGGCAUUAUAUUUUUGUUUCAAAAAAUAUACCAAGACUUUUCUACUGAAAUCAUCAAUAAAGGUAAUAAAAUACCUGCAACUACCAUUAGAAGAAACCAUAGUGCACAAGUCUGAGUGAAUAAUUUCCAAUGAUUUUUUGGCCCUCCAUGAUAUGUCAAUCUAAAAAGCAUCCCUCUAUUGCUUUCUCAAAACGCAUAUAUCACAGACUCUAAUAGGAUUUCUAGUAUUAGGCAAUCUACCAACCAUUUUUUUACUGGUCAAAAGUUUGAAAUUGUCAAAAUUCAAAUGGCCAAAUCAUAUAUGCCAUAACUAAUUACUAUCUUUUAUCACCAUAUUCAAACAAAAAAAUUGAUAGAACUCAAAUUCAAUGCAACUAAGCGAUUUGAAAUCAUUGAUACACUAGCAAUUAUUCCAAUAUUUUUUAUAAAAAAUGGUACAAGUACCAUUCGGAUACUAAUAUCAUUUUUUUUUUCUCAGAUAAUUGGCUUAUACUCAACAAAUUAUGAUGCAACCCAAGAACAUAGAAAACAUCAGAAAAAAAUUAGUAGACCCAUUUUUCAGACUAAUAGAAAUUUUUUCAAAUUUUACUUCACCAUGGACAGAUACAUCAAGUUCAACAAAUAAUUCUUUCUUGCCAGAUAUACCGUUACUGCAACCCGUAUCCAAGUAUCAUUUAUUUUUAUUAACUAGAUCAACAGCAUUACAGGCUAAUAAUGAAGUCUCAAAUUUUUUAUUAUUAUUCUACAUCUGAUUGUCAACAACAUUAGAUUGAAAAUUUCUAUCUUUUUUUUUUUCAAAUCUACAUUCAAUUUGUCUAUGACCCAAGUUUUCAUAAUUAUAGCAUUGAAUACUCUGUCCAAAAUUAUUCUAAUUGAAAUUAUUUUCUCUGCCAAAAUUACCAUCUCUGUCUCUAUCAAAAUCACCUCUAAAAUUAAAAUUAUUACCUCUACCACGUUUAAGAUUUAAUGUAUCUUCUCGACCUCUAUUAUUGUUCCUAUGACCACCUCUGUUAUUGUGACCACCUCUAUUAUUAUAACCAUCCCUGUUCAUCUGCUUGGAUUCACUUUGCUCUCUAACAUUAUUAUUGUCUUUCAAAUUCAGUUACAUAUGCAAUGCCUUCUCUACUGUAUCCAUCUCCGGGAUAUCCUCCAAUUUCUUCUUAAUUCUUUGUUCAUGCAGAAUUAAUGAUCCAUCCAAAUUUUCAAUAUUCAAAUUCUUCAAAUUUUUUAUUUCCUAGAUUAUAGCUACCACAUGAUCCAAUUUCGUGAGUAAGGCAUUGAAAACUUUUUCAACAAAUGUUCUAUUUGGAAAGUUAUACUAAUUAAGUUUUAUCUCGUUUUUAAUAUCUUACAAACGAAAAAAAAUAUAAUUCAAUAGAUUCCGACUUCUCUAUAGUCACACAUUCGAAUUUCCUGUUCAACAUCAUCAAAUUAUUUUGACGAAUCCUGUCAAUUCCUAUGUAUGUUUCUUUCAAUAUAUCCCAAGUCUUCUUUGUGUAUUAGCCGUAGCAAUUUUUUCAAAAACUAACAUGUCAAUUGCCUGAUGAAUCUGUGACAAAGCCAAGUUAUCUUUUGCCUUAUCAUUCUCGCUAGCAUUUUGAGCAAGUGUAGAUUCAAUAUAUCGUAAUUUACAUGCCUUAAGAUGAGUUAUCAUCUAUUUCUACCAAAAAUUGAACUUUGUUGACAAAACAGACAAUAUUGGGGUUUGGAUUUGCCAUACUUCAAUCUAUCAUAAUUCUGGUACCACUCUGAUGGACCCAAAUUGAUAAAACCACAAAAUCCACAAGAAUAAUUAAAAAAAUGAUAUUGAGGCAAAGGGAAUUUUCUAUUAAUCAAACAAGGCUCUGGCUACCCCAUACAAAACACAACGAAGGCUACUACUUCUUCUUAAGGCUAAAAGACGGACGCAAAGGCUAUAUAUCAAAGCCUCUUGGCGGCUAACUUCUAUUACUAACUCUACUGAUCAUAAAAAAUUGGGUAAAAAACAAAAAAGUCCCCUGUGGUAAGUUUAAUACACAGAAAAGUCCCAUAUGGUUUCAAAAUAUAGAACACGACACCUCAUGCUUUGAAUUAAAUUGUAAAGGUAACAGAAUCUGUUAAAUUUAACGGAAAUGACUUAUUGGAACUUUAAAAAAAAAAUUAUACCUAAUUUUUAUCAAAUAUACCUAUUCUACCCCUUAACCCUCAAUUCUCUCUAUUUAGAGAAUAAAACAAAUGAUUUUUUUGAGCUGUCUUUUGCUUAAUUAUAUCAGGGCAUUUUGGUCAUUUUGUCCAUUUCCUUUAAGUUUAACAGAUUCUGUCACCGUUACAAUUUAGUUCAAAACAUGAAGGGUCGUGUUAUAUAUUUUGAAACCAUGGGAGACUUUUCUGUGUAUUAGAUUUACCAGAGGGGAUUUUUUUGUUUUUUACCCUAAGAAAUUCAAUCCCAUAUGACCACCCUACCAACCAACAACACUGCUACCAAGCCACUAACGUCACACGAAAAUAUAAAUAAAUAAUAAAGACUUGGUUUGUAUUUCUAUAAAAAGGACAAAAUAAAAGUAAUUUGAAAACUAAUUUUAGAGAACGUUUUUAGUAUAAUAUCAAGUGAUAUGUAUGAUUUACACCAAAGAAAUUCUCCCAUUAUAUAUAGUAUAAAUAAUUAGAUGAUUAUGUGUUUUGAUUUGGUUAAAGUCAUGUUCGAAGCCAAGCACCACGCAAGAAAACUCGAAUGGAAUAUACCACGCAAGUUCGAGAUACAUAUAUCAUGGAAAUCCUUGUGUACAAACAUCUCAUCUUGAGAAUUUACAAUUUGUAGCCAUAUAUGGGCUAAUUUCUCAGAUUAUUUGCAUUUAAAAAAAACAACCGUCAAAUACACCUUUGUCAGGGUCGUUUCUAAUUGUAUAGCAGCCGUGCUGAUUGGGCACGGUCCCAUGACAAAAAGUUUGACCGAAUGUUCUCUGCAAAAAAUUCAGUGGUGCACGGUAGGUGUCAGACAGGGAUGUGCUGAUUGGGCACGUCCCGAACUGACAGAAAACUGAGUCGGUCAAAUUAGCUGUCAGAUCGGGACGUGCUGACUGGGCACGUCCCGGCUGACUGAAACUGACCAAGUCUGGGCAUUGUCCCCGGCUAACAGAAAACUGGUUCGUCUGGGCAUGAGAAGAUUCUUGGAUAUAAAGCCUCCUCCUAGCAUGUCUUACAGAAAUGUGCAAAAGCUUCUUGUUCUUAUCCUCGAAGAGAUUACAACCUGUAUAUAGUGAUUUCAUAGCAGAUGAAACUCGUUGUCAAUUAACUUUAUCAAAUGGUCCCUGAAAUGAUGUUUCGGGUCCAUUAUGGAAAAACUCUAAAUGCAAAAGCAACAUAUCCCACUUAAUAGAGAGUUUGGCUAAACUAAAAGACAGUCCUACAAGACAAAUGCAAAUUCUUAAAACAUCACUUUUUUUUACUAACCUUUUAUUCAUAAUCUACUCAAAUUUAGGCUAAUUAGACUACCAAAGUGAUUAACAAAUCUACAAACAAAAGAUUAUUCAGUCUAGUUUUUAAAGUUGUUAAAUUAAAAUUCUAAACUUAAUAAAUUUACUAAAACCCCUAAUUAUACCUGAAAAGUCAGAAUUAAUUCACAAAAAUACGCAUUAUCAUCAUAAAGAAAGGCCAGAACUCUAAACAUGAGAAAUUUAUCCAUUUUUGGCACAUGUUGAGACCCUAGCACAAUUAUGCAAAAGUUAGGGGACAAAUUAUAAAUAUAAAUUAUGGACUUAGAUCAAAAUAAGUGAACAUAAGAACAAUGUGUAUAAUUUUCAGAAAAUUAAACAAUGCCUAAAACAUAUAAAAUAUGUAAAGCUGCAUAUUAAAAACAAAACAAAGGAAAAAUAAAAAUAAAAGUUUGGUUUUUAAAUGUUGGGUUAAAAACCAAGAAAAGAAUGGAAACAUAAAACUAGAGCUAAAUGCCCAGACGAACCAGUUUUCUGUCAGCCGGGGACAAUGCCCAGACUGGGUCAGUUUCAGUCAGCCGGGACGUGCCCAGUCAGCACGUCCCGGUCUGACAGCUAAUUUGACCGACUCAGUUUUCUGUCAGUUCGGGACGUGCCCAGUCAGCACGUCCCUGUCUGACACCUACCGUGCAUCACUAAAUUUUUUGCAGAGAACAUUCGGUCAAACUUUUAGUCAUGGGGCCGUGCCCAAUCAGCACGGCCGCUAUACAAUUAGAAACGACCCCUGACAGAGGUGUAUUUGGCGAUUGUUUUUUUUAAAUGCAAAUAAUCUGAGAAAUUAGCCCGAUAUAUGUACAUUUUUAUUUGCACAUACUUGCUCAGUGACAAUUGAAUUGUACACAUGAAGCUUGCAAUGUCCAUAAAAGCAUACAUAUCCGUGCUUGUACCCCAUUUUAAUGAAAAAAAUUCAUGAAAUUCAAGUCGCACUACCCUUUUUUCUAAAUUUCAUCAUCGUUAAUUUGAUCAAUCAAAUAUUUUGAUUUCCCAUCGACAUUUUCCAUUAACAUUUAAUUAAAUACUAACAUCAAUUUACACAAAGAAUUGUAAUCCAUGCUUGAUAGUCCCAAUAAUUUAUCCUCUCUAGUCAUCAAGUUACAAUUCCCGCAAUCAUAAUAAUAAUCUUGGCUUGCGCGACAGUUGAACCGGUCAAUAUUUUGGCCAGACCGAAUUGGCAGUUGGACUUAAAAAUGAAGUAACUCGUUGACUAAUUAAUAAUUCAUCAGUUCAAUUAGUAAAAUUUAAAAAUUUGAUCGAUCCAAACACGAUCGAUGUCCGAUUGGGUUUAAUAACUAUACUUGCAAUGAUUAAUAAUUCAACGAUUCAAUUAGCAAAAUUUAAAAAUUUGAUAGUUUCAAGCACAGGUUUAUUAACUACGCUUGCAAUGAUUAAUAAUUCAACGGUUCAAUUAGUAAAAUUUAAAAACUUGAUAGAUUCAAACAAUAGAUGAUGUCCGGUUGAAUUUAAUAACUACGCUUGCAAUGAUUUAACAUGGCAGCAAAUGUACUUUGUUUUGAAUCAACUCAGCUACUCCAUGAUUGAAAAGAUUUUUUUUUUUUUUUUACUAAUUAGACUUGAACUCCAAGAAACAUUUGUAGUAAUUAAAAAAAUGAAGGGUGAGUACCGAAAUAAAGAAAACAUGACACGAAAAAGUAAAAAGAUAACUACCCAUUACUCCUACAACACUCUCUAUCGCACACAGUAAUGGCUUCAUCCUCGUCGAGCUCGUCUGCGAUUUUCAGCUUCGUCUCCAACCCCACCGCCACUCGUAGUCUCCCUCGGCGUCACUUCACGCGGCAACAUUUCGCUUCAUCCCCAAAUACCAGAAAGAAAUUCCCCAUUUUUACUCAGAAAACGGCUAGUAGACGAACCAAUACAGCAAUAACAGCAAAACUCGGACAGAAAAGCGCUCUGGAGUAUAGGAAACUCGGAGAUUCCGACCUUAUUAUUAGUGAAAUCACGCUUGGCACCGUAAUUAUAAGCUUUCCACUCUUCUCGUCUGUUAUUUGUUAGUUUUACUGUUUUAUUGAGUUACCAAGGAAAUGCAAGAAAAAUCUUGAGUUUCUUGUAGCAUAUGUGGCGUUCAUCUCUUGUUGGUUAGUCGAGAAAUUGAAUUUAGCUUGCACAAUUGUUAAAUUGGAUGGAACCCAGUACAAAAUACAAAUAGGAUAAGAUUACAAGGGGUGGUUUGGUGCAAAAUUUGAUUCCCAACUCCCAAGUCCUAACUUAGUUAACCGAGAUGAAGUGGGAAUGGUGUCCAUGCUUGAUGGUUUACUCUUGAUUGUGGAACUAAUAGAACUAUGAUCAGGAAUUAGGAUUAAAUGUGAGAAACAACUUCAAACGGGGGUAUACAAUGCGUGGUUAUUUUGCAUCUUGCUCUGCUGGGGCAUGCAUCUAUUACCUUUGUACUCUUAAUGUGUUUGGUAAUAAAUUUUACUCUUUAGUUUCAGAAGCCUCUGAUUCCCUCAGUGGUAAAAGUACUAGAAUAUCCCCUUGGCCCAUAAAUGCUAUACUGAAAGUUUUGAGCUUGAAACCAAUGGCCAAUUGAACAAACAGUCUCCUUAUCAAGGCCUAAGUCCAGAUUUUAGCUGUGUACUAUGUUACUCUAAAGACUGAAUUUUGACACAAUCCUCAAUCAUCUGUAUGUGCCUGGAUGUCAAAUUUGGUUUCUCCUUCACCGUCUCCCUACAGUUACCCCUUCCUUAAUAUAGGUGGAGACAGUGAUAAGUGUUGUUGUGCUACAAGUCAUUUUGGGGAGAGGGGUUCUUCCCUGAUAUACUGCAAUGGUUUGCUAAAAUUUCUUUCUUCUAUAUUUGUAAUUUGGCAGGCAGUAUUCAUUCCGUGGUAAGAACACUAAAUUACAAUAGAAUCACUAAUAGAAGUAAAAGCUUUUGCUUUUCUGUGUUUAGAUGAUUUUGAUCCUGACAUCAUUCAUCCAUGCAAUAUUUCAGAUGACAUUUGGACAGCAGAAUACAGAGAAAGAGGCACAUGAUAUGCUUAAUUAUGCGUUCGAUAAUGGGAUAAAUGUCUUAGAUACUGCAGAGGCUGUAAGCUAUUUGAUACUUAUGUCUUAAAGUAUUUUCUUGCUACAAAAAACUGCAUCUGGAAGAAAUCAUUAAGUCUCAGAAUAUACUUCACAAUAAAACAUUUUCCUGAUCAUUAUGUUCGAUGUCACUCUAUGGAGCUUUGCCAUUAAGGAUCUGUGUCUGUACUUGUGUUGUGUUUCACAUGAAUUCACUCUCUUUUAGUGCAUUGGAACUUUUCAGUUUUUGCCUAUCUAGGAGCUCAACUUUGUUAACCAAAACCUUGAGGGUUGGCUUUUCCAAAGAAAUUGAACUUGGCUAACCAAGUGGUAGACCUUUUUACCUUUGAGUUUGAUUUCUCUUUAAGCAAAGUUUUCUGGAUAUAAGUGGUGGAGUGAUGAGCCAAUCUUCCAGUGAAAUUUCUUUUGGAUGGAUCUUAUGUUAUAAGAAGCUUGUCACUAAUAGUGAUAUUUUGUUCUUUGAAAUUGUAAAAUUCAAUCAAUAAUUCCCCUUUAUGUUCAUUUACUCUACCAUAGACACCAAGUUCCCAUAUAUAUCUUACUUGUGGUGUUAUUCUUCCAUCAAUCUCCUAAGUACCCAAUUCCAACAAGGAAGGAGACACAAGGGCUGACAGAUCGCUAUAUUGGUAGCUGGCUGAAGUCUCAACCCCGUGACAAGGUACUAUAUUCAUUUGUCCAGGAAAUUUUUUUCUCUGCUUUUUUGAUUUCCCAAUCAGCAGUCAUAAUUUUGACUUUGUAGAUGUGCCUUUGGUUUUUCAAUAUCAUCACUUGGUAGCCUGUCUAUUCGAUAAUGUGGUCCCUUGUCCAAAUGCAUGGCUAUGCUUGCUUAGAUCUUGUUUCGUGCAGGUCAAAAUUCCAGCAAUAUCUUUUUGGUGGAUUUGCUUAACAUGAAUGUUUUUUUGUUUGAAUUUUCUCUGAAAUUCUGCAUUUUUCUGAGAAUUUAAAUAAAGAAAAAUUAUUAGUGUGUUCUGGUCCAAGCUAAAUCAUUAUUGUUAACAGUUGCACCGAUUGCUAAAUCCUUAUGAUGCUACUCAGUCUGUAAUUUGUAAGUGGGCCUUUUUGACAGUGGUUUUAGGCUUGUUUAGGUACCCAUUUUUGAAUAUUCUAAGGAAGGCCUUUUGGUAUUCAAAGAGAUGUUUUUCCCUUGAUCCAUUUCCAGUUCAUUUGACAAGGUUGCUUUUCUAGCUACAAGAAAAUGAUGUGACAGGAUGGAUUUGGAUUCUUGCUAUUGUUAUUAGAGUCGAAAUUUUUUGGGGGUAGUCUCUCCAAAUUAUUGCUUCCUGUUCUUAACCAUGAACUUAAAUAAACAUCUGUUUUUUGCUCUUAAUAAACUUCUGUUAAACCAAUUAUGUUUUCUUUUAUCCAGUUUCAUGUGAUAUUUUUGUCAGGACUAAACUGAUUAUGUUAAAGCUUUCUUUUUUAUUUUAUCUUUUCUGAAGUUUUUGUUUUCCUGAACCUUGAUAACCUGCUGUUUUUUUUCCUACACAGACACUGAAUGUUGAGAUAGUCAAUCACCAUGUUUACUGUAUUUAAAUGCUACUCAUCAUUUUGAACUGUGGGCUGCCAUAACUUGAAGUUACAGUGUCCUAAUCAAUGACUAGGUUAUCGUGGCAACAAAAAUAUCUGGUUAUUCGGAGCAGCGAAGCUUUUUAAGGGAGAAUGCAAAAGUUUUGAGGGUUGAUGCUGCUAAUAUAAAAGAAAGUGUAGAAAAAAGUCUUCAACGUCUUGGUACUGACUACAUCGAUUUACUCCAAAUACAUUGGUAAGCAAUUAUACUUACCAGCAUUGCACGAUCAAUUUUUUCGAACUCUAAUUUUGUUUGACACUACUCAUUGGUUACCUUCUUCAGUGAAAAUCUUUAUACCUAUCUUAACUCUUUAAGUGUGACAUAUUUCAGUUUAUCUUUGGUAAUUUUUUGACUUAAAACAUACAAAUGAACCUUAGAACCAUAAAAGUGGCAAUCACUGGAUAAAGCUAAAUCUGUCAAUAAAUGUGAAAUGCUAUGUCAACAUCCUAACCCCCUAAACCCGCCUCGCCUGGCAGGGGUCCCCUGGCUGGGAGAAAAUAAAGUAAAAGAAAAAGAGGGCAAGGUGCGAUUAUUUACUUUUAACUAAUUCCAAGUCAACUCAAGAACCCAAUCCACUUUGAUUACAAUUCAGGUCGUCUCUUCAUUGUUUGCAUGCAACUGCAUUGACAGGCAAGUCAAAUUUAUUUUUACCAUUGCUUGAUUGGUAAAUGGCUGUACUAUUUUAUGGUCAGGAGGGAUAUAGUUGUAUCUGAAAGAGAGUUAGAAUUUAGAAGAAAGUUUUAGCACAUGCAAGGGAUUUAACUGCAAAAUGGAAGAAAGCAACUAGACGUUAUUAUAAGGGUUGGACGUAGACGAGGCUAUAUGGCCCUUAAUUUUGUCCACACAAAAGUGCAAAUGGCCGCCGGCUUUAUAGAUAUCCUUGGGAUUGUUUCCCAAGUGUAUGUUGGCUAGAAUUUUGAAUUUUUCAUAAUCUGGGUCUGUGACAGAGUAUUUAUCCACUGGACUAAUCAAGCCAAAGCGGUCUUCUUGGUCUGCAUAUCUCAUAAAAUAUUUAGCAGAUGCUUAUUUAUAGUCAGAAGGCCGUUUCAUAAAUGUGGCUCCUGAAUUGUUAUGCUGCUGUUGUAUCCUGCAUUCAUAAUACAGCACAAAUGCUAUGAUCUACUGCUAUUGGCAGGCCAGCCUAUUAUGAUGGGGUAUUUAUUAGAAUACUGAUAUUUCUAUUGAAAAUUGAAGAAGAUUAAAGGUUUUACUGAGGUUCCCAAAAUACUGAAAAUAGAGAAACUGCUUGAAAAAGUGACAUUGAGUAGAUCUUAUAGAACUCAGAUAUUGAUGAUGAUGGUGGUGGUGGUUGUGGAGAGGGAAUUAUUGGGAGUGAAAGAUGCUGGCGCAGCUUGUAUGGUUUGCUUUGUGGUUGCUCUUCUACUUUAUUCUUCUCUUAUCAUACGUCCAUGAACAAUGUUUCUAGAAGGGAAAGAGAAGAAGGAAAGGGAGGGGAAGGACCGGGAGGAGUUUAAGAAGCAAAAAGGUAGGAUAAGGAGGGGGGGAAAAGCCUUGGAGUCUCCCCUUGAAGCAAAAAAGUAAAAAAAAAAAGAUAGGACAAGAAGUGGAAGGAAAUUAGAAAAAAGACAAAAGGAAGAAGAAGCCGAUUUAUGAGAAAUCCAUUUUGAAGUCAGCUUUUGAAAGAUGAUUUAAAGUUGGAUUUUUUAGAAGUCUAUUUUGCAAUUUUGGGAAGCUGAAUAAAACCAACAAUAGUUCUUUAAUUUCCAAUAAAAAAUCAAUAUUCUGGUAAACAACCCCACCUCAUUAUGACUUCUUUAUAUCUUCUCUACUUCUCUUCUUUGAAGCAGUGGAGCUCAUUUUAUAAGUUUAAAGGGAUCACCUAUUAGUCCUGCAUAAUGGAAUAUUGAGUCUACAUUUAACCUAUUUAUUAAACCUGUUCAUCUAAAACAUCUUCCUGCACCAUUCAGGGUUUACCUUCUUGUCAAAUACACAAAUUUCAUGAAUUCUUCUCCUAUAUGUCUGCAACAAAAUGGCCCCCUCUCAGAUUUGAGAUAAUAAUUAUACUUUUGUCUCAGGCCAGACCGUUAUGUUCCCCUGUUUGGCGAGUAUUUUUAUGAUCCUUCAAAAUGGAGGCCAAGUGUUCCUUUUGUCGAACAACUGACAGCAUUCAAAGAACUCAUUGUCGAAGGGAAGGUACCAGAAAGCACAAGUUUCGUAUUUAGUUUACUUAAACAUUGUCUUUGCAUCAUAAAUGAGUUAGCAAUACCUGCUUUACACACUUGAAUGUUUAUCUCUAGAGCCCCAAUCUUUGAAUAAACUUGUCAAGCAUUACUAUAACUAUGAAUGGGAUUCUCUGGGCUAAUCUACUGGAUGUAAAGAAGGAAUUUCCAACAGCUUUAUUUUUAGCAUGCACAACUUCAUUUUUGUCCCUUUUUUGCUUUGCUUCUUCUGCUUCAGUUUGUGUCUCUUUGGCAAUAACAGAGAAACCUUUUCAGGUACGACAUAUUGGUGUUUCAAAUGAAACUUCAUAUGGAGUAAUGGGAUUUGUUCAUGCUGCUAAAGACAAAGGAUUACCAAAGAUAGUUAGUAUUCAAAACAGCUACAGUCUGCUUGUAAGAUGUAAAUUUGAGAGUAAGUUAUCUUCUGACUCUGUCUCAUUUUCUAUCAUCGUUAAUAACUAAAAUACGUUAUUUCUGACUGUCAUAGCUUGGAUCUUCUUUGUUUAAAUGCUACUUUUAGAAAUACAUGUUCCUUCCAUCAGAGCCUUGACUAACUAGUUGCUUUUCCUUUCUUCUGUAAUCAUUCAAAAGUUCUUCAAUCCUGCCAUAACACAGAUUUAUAAUAUUCUCAAACAGCAAUAACUUUGAGGAGAAUUGUAUAUUUGCGUGUGAUACUUUUAGGUUUUACAUUGUAUUUGAUUCUUCGCAGUUGAUCUUGUUGAAGUAUGCCAUCCAAACAACUGCAACAUCAGCUUACUUUCUUAUUCUCCACUGGGUGGUGGUGCGCUGACUGGAAAAUACUUGGAUAUCAAUUCUGAAGCUGCAAAGAAAGGAAGACUCAACCUCUUCCCAGGGUAUAUGGAAAGAUACAACAAAUCCAUUGCCAGGGUAUGUGUUAUUUGAGUUUGAUAAAGCACGGAAAAUAGCUUUUUACCUGUCUUUGCUUGUAAGGAGAAUAUCAGAUUGAGAUGCAAAUUUAUGCAGAAAAUGCACAUGGUAUAAUCAUCUUCCUGCCCUCUUACAUGCCUCAAAAACUUUUGACUAGCAAUUCAUAAUUUGUAAUCAUUUCUAUUGAUUUUUUUUUUGGUCAUGGCUUGUAGAUGUGAAAAAUAAAUGUUAGUCACGAAAUUAUUCGUGCUUUUUCUCAGGCACAUGUUGAUGACUUUGGGUGAGAAUUGAGAUAUAAAACUUAUUCUCAAUGUCAAAUAAACAAGGCAAAAUUUUCUUAAUAGUAUAAUUUGCUGUAACUUCUAGAUAUGUUCCACUAGUUCAAAUUUUUGUGCCGUGUUCUUCACUUACUUUUGCCAUGAUGAAAGUACGCAACCAUUCAUCUUUUUGACACUUGAGCAACAAAACUGCUUUUAGUAUACUUCUAUCCAGAAUAGCCUUCAGUUCAGCCACAGCAGUUCUACAUUUGUUUCCACAAAAGGCUACUUAUUCUUCUGAAGAGAUUACAAUUCUAUUCACAAUGACAAAUCCAUGUAUUUUUGAUACCAUUCUUUCUAGAUCAUGCACUAAUUCUUUCCAAAUAUUUUAUUCCUUUUUUCACGUUAAAUGAGCAUUUUCCAUGUGAGUAUCUAGCUCAUGUUUGUAUGUUGGAAUUACAGGAAGCAACAGUACAGUAUAUGGAAGUGGCCAAGAAACAUGGGCUUACGCCUGUAGAGUUAUCUCUCGGUUUUGCACGAGACCGACCAUUUAUGACAAGCUCAAUUGUAGGUGCGACUUCAGUGGAUCAAUUGAAAGAAGAUAUCGAUGCAUUUUUGACAGUUGAGCGGCCUUUGCCACCUGAAGUGAUGGCUGACAUUGAAAGCGUCUUCAAUAGAUACAAAGAUCCUGCAAUUCUUUAGAUGAGGUGCUUCACAUGAAAAGUUUCACUAAAUCCUUCUCCUCUAAAACUAAGUUGCUGCUGAGGGGAUGCAUGACUUGCAUAUUCUGCCUUUUUUUCCUGAAUGGUUCGGGCGGCUUCGAGCAAGCUCCAAACUCUCAAGCCCGACAUGAUUUUACUUCUUUGUCUUCUCAAGGCGAAGCUAUUCUUUGGGGCUUCUUUGGUAUUGCUACAGAGAGAUACAGUUUGCUUCGUGUAUUAAUAGGACUUGUAUUUUGAUCUUUGGUCAAUAUAAGCGUACGCUAUUCUUUUCACCCUGAGCUUUCUCGUUCUUGCAUGGCAGUUCAUUUUUCUCCUUUGGGUUUUCUCGUUCUUGCAUGGCACUAAAGAUCACAUGCAAACAUAAGAAAUCACGUUUUGUACUUUUAGCUUUUAAAAUUAUUAGUGCCAUUAUUGUAUAUAUUGAGGAAAUUUCAUUUAUUAAUAGUUAGUGAUUGACUAAUCUUUAAUGUUGAACAUAUUUGGUUCCGAGAAAACAACAUAAUUACUUGUAAAGUGUAAACUAUUGGCACCAUAAUUAGUAGAAGUAGUAGUAGUAUAGAAAUUAUCAGGGUAAAAAACCAAAAAAUUCCCUGUGAUUUGACAAACAUUUAAUUUAACUUCUUCUGGUUUGAAAAUCUACACUAUAACUCCCUAUGAUUUUGAUUAAAUUGAAAAUUGGACAUAAAACAUCAAAUCUAACGGUUGUGUGUGAAAUGUCAAUAUUGUCCCUACUAUACGUGAGAUGCUUUUCAUUCAAUUUUCAAUUUAGUCGAAAUUAUAGGAAGUUAUAGUAUAAUUUUUUAAAUCACAGGGAGUUAAAUUGAACAUUCAACAAACCAUAGGGAGUUCAUUUACAUAAGGGCAAUAUUGAUAUUUCACAUCUAACCGUUAGAUUAGAUGCUUUCCGUCCAAUUUCAAUUUAGUUGAAACAACAGAGAGUUAUAAUGUAGGUUUUCAAACUAGAGGGAGUUAAAUUGAAUAUUUAGCAAAUCACAAGAAAUUUUUGGGUAUUUUACCCUAAUUAUCAUCCCAAAAUCUAUUUAAAAAAAUCUACUAGCAUGGCUAUGAAAAUAUUUCCACGCGUCAUAUGAAAAAGGUGUCAUUUAAGAGAUUUUCGAAGGGCAGUUUUUAUAAGGUGGUUAAGAGGACCAAAUAAGCGCGCCAAAGUCGCUCCCCAGUCCAUUGAGCUGCAAACGUUCUCCUAAACUUGUGUCACUUUCUCUUUCCUUACCUUCUCUCUCUUCAACUCCCUCUUCUUCUUUGCUAUGUUUGAUCUGUUCUGACAACGUAAAUCUCGAAACCCUUUUCGUAUUUCGAAGAAUCCGACAUGAAAUCAUUCGAAUUCUUGAGGAUUAUGAGCGUGGAUCACUAGUUUUCUUGAAUAUUCAAUAAAGGUUAGUUGUUAGUGAAGAAAAGUGUCAAGGUGAUAUCUCGGAUUUGACAAAAGAUUAGCUGAAUUUCGUAAGGUAAAACAUUCUUGUUAAGAUAUUUGGGAAGUUAAUGAUAGGCCAUAGCAGAUUGGAUUGGCAUCUAUGAAGACUAUGCGGAUGGUUGGGACAAAGAGGGUACAGUGGUGGCUGCCCAAGAAUUAUUUCAGAUGGAAUGGCAGAUCCUGUUAGUUAUGGCAAUCCUGAUCGUGACAUUGAACAGGUAUUUCCAUUCUUUUUCUUUUCCUUUUGCGUUUCCUUAGUCGAAUUUAUUUUUCCCAAAGAUGAAAUUAGACACAAGAAAAGGAUAGGUUUAUCACUUAACAUAGUAUCGGUUCAAAAUGAGAGAACAUCCCUUAUUUAAUUAGUUUGUAUAGUGUGUUUUGUUGGUUCAUUUGGACGUUCUGAUUGGCCUAAAAAUGCCUAUCAUGCCUAGUGAACUGACUAAAUGAGUUUCCUCAAGU
rnacentral:lncRNA from 1 species